UACGUAGGGUGCGAGCGUUGUCCGGAAUUAUUGGGCGUAAAGAGCUUGUAGGCGGUUUGUCGCGUCUGCUGUGAAAAUCCGAGGCUCAACCUCGGACUUGCGGUGGGUACGGGCAGACUAGAGUGUGGUAGGGGAGACUGGAAUUCCUGGUGUAGCGGUGAAAUGCGCAGAUAUCAGGAGGAACACCGAUGGCGAAGGCAGGUCUCUGGGCCACUACUGACGCUGAGAAGCGAAAGCAUGGGGAGCGAACAGG
rnacentral:rRNA from 1 species